UACAGAGGGUGCGAGCGUUGUCCGGAAUCACUGGGCUUAAAGGGCGCGUAGGCGGGCCCACAAGUCCGGGGUGAAAUCUUUCGGCUUAACCGGAAAAGUGCCUUGGAUACUGGGGGCCUUGAGGGAGGCAGGGGCGGAUGGAACUUCCGGUGGAGCGGUGAAAUGCGUUGAUAUCGGAAGGAACGCCGGUGGCGAAAGCGAUCCGCUGGACCUCUUCUGACGCUGAGGCGCGAAAGCCAGGGGAGCAAACGGGG
rnacentral:rRNA from 1 species